UACGUAGGGACCAAGCGUUGUUCGGAUUUACUGGGCGUAAAGGGCGCGUAGGCGGCGUGACAAGUCACUUGUGAAAUCUCUGAGCUUAACUCAGAACGGCCAAGUGAAACUGUUGUGCUAGAGUGCAGAAGGGGCAAUCGGAAUUCUUGGUGUAGCGGUGAAAUGCGUAGAUAUCAAGAGGAACACCUGAGGUGAAGACGGGGUUGCUGGGCUGACACUGACGCUGAGGCGCGAAAGCCAGGGGGAGCAAAACGGG
rnacentral:rRNA from 1 species